rnacentral:pre_miRNA from 2 species
UCAGGUACUUAGUGACUCUCAAUGCUUUUGACAUUUUGGGGGUCACUCUGUGCCUGUGC